GACCCUUUAGCCUUGCCAACACCUGUUACCUGCUUACCUUCAGUGACCUGGUUGCUAGGCAGCGACCCCUCCCUCAUUGUCCUGUAUCCCUCUCUCCCAUCCCCCUACCUCAUUUCCCCUAUUGAAGCCAGCACAGAAUUCUCCUUAAAUGCAGCUUGAUCAGCCUUGUCUUACCGUCAACUUCUCUUGUCUCUUGUCCCGUCUUUCCAGGUUCCCGUGGGCUCGACCUUCGUUGUGCCCUGCUGGACCAAGGCAAACUGGUGCCCAAUGAUCCGGCUCAAAGACUCUACGGACCCCAGGAAUGCCGCUGCACCCAGAGGGGCAGGCCUGCCCACGUUCUCCACGCCUGAGGGGGGAAGGACCGGCUCUGAAGAGGUUGCCACAGCUCCACACGCUGUGAGACAGACUGCAGAGAUCUCCAUGGCUUUGCCAGGCCAGUGAGUCAGAUCUGGGGGAAUAACACAGCACCGCGGUGCAAGGGUGAAGAAACUCUGAAGAACGCCCCCGCCAGCAAACUUCUCCUCAGAAACAAACGACACCCCCUGCCCGCUGGAACCACUCAUCCACAACGGUUUUGCCAUGAUUGGCUCAGGGCAAUCAGGACCUCAUGUAAGAGAAAGUGUACAAAGGAGUCAGAAUGGAAGAAUGGGAAGCAAUCAGCAGGGGCUACCGCGACUCCCUCUCUAAAGCCGUGCAAUCAGAGAAAACACACAAGGGCUCUGACCCUCGCAGGGAUUUCUCCAGACACUUUUGUCUCUUAUUUCUCUCUCAGACCUGUCACUCAGUCUUAAUAAAUCCGGUAGAUCCGCCCACCGGAACCCGGUUUUUAUCUCCCCCUUUUCCCCUUUUGAUUUAUUCUAAUUAGUAGCAGAGCUGGCUCCCUGCCUGGCAUUUUCACCGCUAAAUCAAGGUUUUGAACGUAUGAAACUUUAUGGUGACAGGGGACGCUGGUAAACAAAGAUCGUUACAGACUGCAGGCCCCCAUAAGCAGGCAGUGUUAGGAUCUGCCUGCACAAGAAGUCAGCUCAGAAGUUAAAAAGACGAGAACUGGAAACUAGCAUUGUCGGGAUUGAAACUUUUUAUUACUUUAAUAAAAGGAUCUCGUGCAUUGAA